CCUACGGGUGGCAGCAGUGAGGAAUAUUGGUCAAUGGCCGGAAGGCUGAACCAGCCAUGCCGCGUGAAGGUCAGUGCCCUAUGGGCGUUAAACUUCUUUUGUGCGGGAGCAAUAAUGGUCACGUUUGGCCAGACGAGAGUACCGUACGAAUAAGCAUCGGCUAACUCCGUUCCAGCAGCCGCGGUAAUACGGGGGAUGCAAGCGUUAUCCGGAUUUAUUUGGUUUAAAGGGUGCGUAGGCUGUGAGGUAAGUCAGCGGGGAAAUGCCCCGGCGCAAAGGGGUGAAGUGCCAUUGAUACUGGCUGGCUGGAGUGCGCAUGAAGUGGGAGGAAUGUGUGGUGUAGCGGUGAAAUGCAUAGAUAGCGCACAGAACACCGAUUGCGAAGGCAUCGGACGAAUCCGAGAUUGACGCUGAUGCACGAAAGCGUGGGUAUCAAACAGGAUUAGAUACCCUUGUAGUC
rnacentral:rRNA from 1 species